CCUCGAUGGUGUCUGCUAAGUGCAUCAGCUUCCUUGCAUCGUCCUGCAGCAAACAGGGUUGCCAUACUUCACAUCUUGCCUCCGACUCCGCCUACAAGAUUCAGACAACCAAUUUCAAAGGAGGAAAACAAAUCUUCGAGAGCAGGACUUUCCAUCCCAGGCACAGUAAGGGUCUCUGCCCAAUCAGCAGUCAGCACAGGCCUCUCCGUACACAUCAC